ACUCUAUGUCAUCUCUAACCCCCCACUGUGCUCUUACCUCCAGAGCGGCAGACGGUUUCUUUUUCAGCUCCUCACAUUUGCGGAACUUGCAGAUCUGGUGGCCCGUUUUGCGGUUCCGGCAGCUGCUGCACGUCUCGCAGUUAAUCCGCCGGCGGCAGGGCGGGCACAUGCCGCAGCGUUUCCGCUUCUUUUUGCCGGAGUUGAUGGCCGAGGCCAGCUCGCUCUGCGCCGGGUACUCGGCCAGGCCGGCCAUGUGCAGCGCGCUGUCGGCCAAGAACACUCCUGCCGGUGUCAUGAUGAACAGCCCCGGGUUGAACGGGAAGCCGCCUCCAACACCGUACGGGAAGUCCGCAACACCGCCAACAGAGUCCACAGCAGACGAACCCUCCAAGUCGCUUGCCCCUGAGCCUGAAUCGCUACCCCCCAUCCCCAUCCCCAUGCCCCCCGGCAGCAGCAUGUGCUCCAUCCCAGCCCUCUUUAGCAGCUCCGCCGCCUGGGCAAAGUGCAGCAGGCCGUUCUGUCCCUCCAAGACCUGCUCCAGGGUGCGGUCCAGCUUGGCUGCCGCAAGCGCUGAGACGGUGGGCUGGGGCUGUGGGGGUGGCUGGGGCUUGGCCGGGUGGCUCUUGGCCUCUCCAUUGUGGUGUGCGUGUCCAUUAGUGUUGGUGGGGCAGGCGGCUGUGUACUGGGAGAGGGUGCGGGACCUCUUAAGGCUCUUACUCAGGGGCUCACUGAUGAUGCCACUGCGGUUCCUGCGCUCAAUGACAGGGACAUCCUCCGUGCAGCUGUUCCGCUCCAGGGCCUCGGCUGUCCGGUCUCGGCUUCCGCUAGACAUGGUCCAGUACGUGCAGGGCUGGGGAUCGGGGCGGGAGGGGGACAGGGGGCGAGCAGAGGAGGGGGAGCCGAUAGGUUCUCACAGUCUGCUCUGAGCCCAGGUGAGGUGGCGCCUCCCUGCUGUGGGCGAAUCGGCCAGCCAACCACAGGCAGGCCCUAGAGCCUUGGCUCUCGCUCUAAACCUCAGCCCUCAUCCACAUCCUUUCACUGGCAACCUACAAACUGACACAGGGAGAGAGGAGAGCGAGAAGGGUCCUUCAAUAACAGGCUCAGUGUUGGACCUAGACAGCAUCUGAGUAAACAACCGACUCCAUUGAUAUAAAUGGGACAGCAACUCUGCCAUGCCUUAAUGUUACCUGUUUAUUAGAUUGAACACAGCUCAUGGAGAGAGAAAAAAAGCUGCAAAAAUGAGACAGCUCACUCAGAGGGUUUGUAUCUAAACAGCUCAUGAUCACAGUGUAAUAGCCCUGGAAGAUGUGUC
rnacentral:lncRNA from 1 species